rnacentral:rRNA from 1 species
GUGGGGAAUAUUGGACAAUGGGCGAAAGCCUGAUCCAGCCAUGCCGCGUGUGUGAAGAAGGUCUUCGGAUUGUAAAGCACUUUAAGUUGGGAGGAAGGGCAUUAACCUAAUACGUUAGUGUUUUGACGUUACCGACAGAAUAAGCACCGGCUAACUUCGUGCCAGCAGCCGCGGUAAUACGAAGGGUGCAAGCGUUAAUCGGAAUUACUGGGCGUAAAGCGCGAGUAGGUGGUUCGUUAAGUUGGAUGUGAAAGCCCCGGGCUCAACCUGGGAACUGCAUCCAAAACUGGCGAGCUAGAGUACGGUAGAGGGUGGUGGAAUUUCCUGUGUAGCGGUGAAAUGCGUAGAUAUAGGAAGGAACACCAGUGGCGAAGGCGACCACCUGGACUGAUACUGACACUGAGGUGCGAAAGCGUGGGGAGCAAACAGGAUUAGAUACCCCGGUAGUCC